rnacentral:rRNA from 1 species
UACGUAGGGUGCGAGCGUUAAUCGGAAUUACUGGGCGUAAAGCGUGCGCAGGCGGUUCUGAAAGUCAGCUGUGAAAGCCCCGGGCUUAACCUGGGAAUUGCGGUUGAAACUACAGGGCUAGAAUCUGGCAGAGGGGGGUGGAAUUCCACGUGUAGCAGUGAAAUGCGUAGAGAUGUGGAGGAACACCGAUGGCGAAGGCAGCCCCCUGGGUCAAGAUUGACGCUCAUGCACGAAAGCGUGGGGGAGCAAACAGG